GACGAACGCUGGCGGCGUGCUUAACACAUGCAAGUCGAACGGAAAGGCCCUGCUUUUGUGGGGUGCUCGAGUGGCGAACGGGUGAGUAACACGUGAGUAACCUGCCCUUGACUUUGGGAUAACUUCAGGAAACUGGGGCUAAUACCGGAUAGGAGCUCCUGCUGCAUGGUGGGGGUUGGAAAGUUUCGGCGGUUGGGGAUGGACUCGCGGCUUAUCAGCUUGUUGGUGGGGUAGUGGCUUACCAAGGCUUUGACGGGUAGCCGGCCUGAGAGGGUGACAGGCCACAUAGGGAGUGAGAUACGGCCCAAGCUCCUACGGGAGGCAGCAGUGGGAAAUAUUGCAGAAUGGGCCGAAGCGUGAAGCAGAAACGCCGCGUGAGAGAUGACGGACUUCGGGUUGUAAACCGCUUUCGCCUGUGACGAAGCGUAAGUGAGGGUAAUGGGUAAAGAAGCACCGAGUAACUACGU
rnacentral:rRNA from 1 species